AACGAACGCUGGCGGCGCGCCUAAUACAUGCAAGUCGAGCGAGAAGACGUAGCAAUACGUUUGUAAAGCGGCGAACGGGUGAGGAAUACAUGGGUAACCUACCCUCGAGUGGGGAAUAACUAGCCGAAAGGUUAGCUAAUACCGCGUACGCUCCUUGGACUUCGGUUCAGGGAGGAAAGCGAUACCGUGGGUAUCGCGCUCUUGGAUGGGCUCAUGUCCUAUCAGCUUGUUGGUGAGGUAACGGCUCACCAAGGCUUCGACGGGUAGCUGGUCUGAGAGGACAAUCAGCCACACUGGCACUGCGACACGGGCCAGACUCCUACGGGAGGCAGCAGUAAGGAAUAUUGCGCAAUGGGCGAAAGCCUGACGCAGCGACGCCGCGUGGGGGGA
rnacentral:rRNA from 1 species